GAUGAACGCUAGCGGCAGGCUUAACACAUGCAAGUCGAGGGGCAGCGGGGAGGAAGCUUGCUUUCUCCGCCGGCGACCGGCGCACGGGUGAGUAACACGUAUGCAACCUGCCCGCCACAGGGGGAUAAGCGGAAGAAAUUCCGUCUAAUACCGCGUGACGCGGCGCCGGGGCAUCCCGGUGCCGCCAAAGGGAUUACCGGUGGCGGAUGGGCAUGCGGCGCAUUAGCUAGUCGGCGGGGUAACGGCCCACCGAGGCGACGAUGCGUAGGGGUUCUGAGAGGAAGGUCCCCCACACUGGUACUGAGACACGGACCAG
rnacentral:rRNA from 1 species